rnacentral:rRNA from 1 species
UACAGAGGUCCCAAGCGUUGUUCGGAUUCACUGGGCGUAAAGGGUGCGUAGGUGGUGGGGUAAGUCGGAUGUGAAAGCCCUCGGCUCAACCGGGGAAGUGCACUCGAAACUGCAUGGCUAGAGUCUCGGAGAGGAUCGUGGAAUUCUCGGUGUAGAGGUGAAAUUCGUAGGUAUCGAGAGGAACACCGGUGGCGAAGGCGGCGAUCUGGACGAUGACUGACGCUGAGACGCGAAAGCGUGGGGAGCAAACAGG